UACCCGAUGGUGUAAUUGGCAACACAACAGGUUUUGGUCCUGUCGUUCCAGGUUCAAGUCCUGGUCGGGUAGCCA
rnacentral:tRNA from 2 species